rnacentral:rRNA from 1 species
UACGGGGGGGGCAAGCGUUGUUCGGAAUUACUGGGCGUAAAGGGCUCGUAGGCGGCCAACUAAGUCGGAUGUGAAAUCCCCAGGCUUAACCUGGGAAGUGCACUCGAAACUGCGUGGCUUGAGUAUCGGAGAGGUUGGUGGAAUUCUCGGUGUAGAGGUGAAAUUCGUAGAUAUCGAGAGGAACACCGGUGGCGAAGGCGGCCAACUGGACGAAUACUGACGCUGAGACACGAAAGCGUGGGGAGCAAACAGG